CCUACGGGGGACAGCAGUGAGGAAUAUUGGUCAAUGGCCGGAAGGCUGACCCAGCCAAGUCGCGUGAGGGACGACUGCCCUCUGGGUUGUAAACUUCUUUUAUAAGGGAAGAAUAACUGCGACGUGUAGCCGGAUGCCUGUACCUUAUGAAUAAGCAUCGGCUAACUCCGUGCCAGCAGCCGCGGUAAUACGGAGGAUGCGAGCGUUAUCCGGAUUUAUUGGGUUUAAAGGGUGCGUAGGCGGGUUGUUAAGUCAGUGGUAAAACGUCGGGGCUUAACCUUGAUUUGACAUUGAUACUGGAUGACGCGAGGUCAGACGAGGUAGGCGGAAUAAGUUGAGUAGCGGUGAAAUGCUUAGAUAUA
rnacentral:rRNA from 1 species